AUUGAACGCUGGCGGCAGGCCUAACACAUGCAAGUCGAACGAGUGGCGGACGGGUGAGUAAUGUCUGGGAAACUGCCUGAUGGUGGGGGAUAACUACUGGAAACGGUAGCUAAUACCGCAUACCAUCGGAUGUGCCCCGAUGGGAUUAGCUAGUAGGUGGGGUAAAGGGUCACCUAGGCGACGAUCCCUAGCUGGUCUGAGAGGAUGACCAGCCAGACUGGAACGGAGACACGGUCCAGACUCCUACGGGAGGCAGCAGUGGGGAAUAUUGCACAAUGGGCGCAAGCCUGAUACAGCCAUGCCGGGUGUAUGAAGAAGGCAUUCGGGGUGUAAAGUACUUUCAGCGGGGAGGCGUUACCCGCAGAAGAAGCGCCGGCGAACUCCGUGCCAGCAGCCGCGGUAAUUC
rnacentral:rRNA from 1 species